UGCCAGACUCCUACGGGAGGCAGCAGUGAGGAAUAUUGGUCAAUGGGCGGGAGCCUGAACCAGCCAAGCCGCGUGAAGGAAGAAGGCGCCAGGCGUCGUAAACUUCUUUUGUCGGGGAACAAAGGGCGCCACGCGUGGCGUUGUGAGUGUACCCGAAGAAAAAGCAUCGGCUAACUCCGUGCCAGCAGCCGCGGUAAUACGGAGGAUGCGAGCGUUAUCCGGUUUUAUUGGGUUUAAAGGGUGCGUAGGCGGUCCGGAAAGUCAGCGGUAAAAGCCCGGGGCUCAACCCCGGCCUGCCGUUGAAACUGGCGGCCUCGAGUGGGCGAGAAGUAUGCGGAAUGCGUGGUGUAGCGGUGAAAUGCAUAGAUAUCACGCAGAACUCCGAUUGCGAAGGCAGCAUACCGGCGCCCUACUGACGCUGAGGCACGAAAGCGUGGGUAUCGAACAGGAUUAGAUACCCCAGUA
rnacentral:rRNA from 1 species